rnacentral:rRNA from 1 species
GGCGCAAGGGUGAGUAACACGUAGGCAACCUGCCUUCAGGACGAGGAUAACUCCGAGAAAUCGGGGCUAAUACUCGAUUAUGCAGCGGCACCGCAUGGUGACAGUUGUUAAAAGCCCCAAAAGGGUGCCUGAAGAUGGGCCUGCGUCCCAUUAGGUAGUUGGUGAGGUAACGGCUCACCAAGCCGACGAUGGGUAGCUGGUCUGAGAGGGUGAUCAGCCACACUGGAACUGAGACACGGUCCAGACUCCUACGGGAGGCAGCAGUGAGGAAUAUUGCGCAAUGUCCGAAAGGGUGACGCAGCGACGCCGCGUGGAGGAUGAAGGCCCUAUGGGUCGUAAACUCCUUUUGAGGGGGAAGAAUAGUCCGCUACAGGCGGAUUUGACGGUACCCCUAGAAAAAGCACCGGCUAACUACGUGCCAGCAGCCGCGGUAAUACGUAGGGUGCGAGCGUUGUCCGGAAUCACUGGGUGUAAAGGGAGCGCA